GACAGUAGAAAUCAAAAGCACAAACUGCCUGAUUUCUUGCCUGUCACACUGCUGUCUUUUCCUGUGGAACUAAUGUCUGUGUGACCAUAUGAGAGAAAUGCAGAAACAGAGAAAGAAAGUAAACCAAAGGACUUCUGCAGAGAAGAAACUCUUCUACAGUGAUCCAGGCCCAAAACCUUGAGGGCUACUCUACAGCCAUCAUUUGCUUCUACUCACUGUACACACACAAAGUGACUUUUCAGCUAAUGGGAAUGAGGAAGUAGAUGGAGCUGAAAAGCCCAAGUUCAAUUAUCUAGCCAGAUCAGUAAUUAAACUAUGGACACAGGUAAUUUCAACUGCCAACACUGUAUUCAAUAUGAAAAGGUUAAUCUAAAGUUUAAGUGUGGGGAAAUCACCUUUAAAGGAAUUAUAGGCAGCUGGAUUUGGUAUUUUGGGCACGUCUCAUGUUAAUUGCAUUUCCUUGAAAUACCAAAACUAAAUGCACACAGAAUACUGAAAACAGUGAAUAUUUUCAGAUGAUUUGGUGUAGGAAAGGCAGCUGAAUCCAUAUUCUGCUUUUACAGGAAAAAAAGCCUCUGUAUGGCAAUGAGUUAGGCUGCACACAUAAAGAACCUUUCUGACUUCGAACUCUUGGUUGUGGCAGCUUCCUCUUAUCUCAUUCUUCAUAUCUUUGAGACUUUUUUUUACAGGGUGUUUUUGUCUUGCCUUUUCUAGGAACUCUGAAUUUCUUCCACAGUGUAGUCACAACAUGAUGUGGAGAAGCAGACUCUGUUCUCCAUUCCUGCCUGGAUAUGCUGUUUAAACAUCACCCUCUACAACCCAAAAGAAAUUGUGUGCUCUAUCAAGGUACUCACUAGAAAAAUAUUGGUGAACCUGAAUGGACAAAUGCCAAGUGAUAAUCUGUAAGCAGACAAAAAGCCCAGAAUUCACCAUUGUGCCAUUUGGUAGGGCCAAACUUGGGCAAGGCUGGCUAUGAUCUGGAAGCUGCAUGUUUACAGGACGGUAUUGUGAACGUGCUGGUCAUGUAUUGAAAACUCAAUUUCAUCACAACUGAAGUGAUAAUAAAGAAAUGUCCAAGAAAAUGUGCAAAGCAGCCAUGUGGCAUGAAGAGUGUAAUGCUUACUUUGAGAUUAAAUGGACAACAAAAACCUCCAUGAAAGAUGUCAUUAAGAAUCCCAUGUUAAGCUACUGCAAGCACGAAUGUUGUCUGAAUCAGUUAUCACCAUCCACAACAGUGCAGCCCUGCACACAAGUGUUCCGCCCAGUGCUAUUUUGAAAAUCUAGAAAGAUAUGAUCUACAGCAUUUGGGAGCAUGUCAAAAUUCAUGAGGUUUUCCGAGAAAUAUUUUGGCAUUGAUGCCUUGAUCCUAUGGAUCUCAACCAGUUACUUCCACUGAAAUGAAUGAUAUCAAAAGAAACAAUUCCUUCUAUAAGACCCUCUCCAUUUUAGUGAGGACACGCUGA